GACGAACGCUGGCGGCGUGCUUAACACAUGCAAGUCGAACGCUGAAGCCGCGUUGGUGGGGGGUGAUCGAGGAGCGAGUGGGUAACUCGCGCGCAACUUGCCUGCCCUUCUGGGUGGGCUAACAUAAGUUGAGGCUACUACCGGACGUACCGGCUCGCCGCAUGCAUGGUGGGUGUAGGGGGGUUGCGGCGGGUGAUGGUCGCGCGGCUUAUUAGCUUGUUGGUGGGGUAGUGGCGUACCAAGGCGACGACGGGUAGCCGGCCUGAGAGGGUGACCGGCCACAAUGGGACUGAGAGACGGCCCAGACUCCUACGGGAGGCAGCAGUGGGGAAUAUUGCGCAAUGGGCGGAAGCCUGAUGCAGCGACGCCGCGUGCGGGAUGACGGCCUUCGGGUUGUAAACCGCUUUCAGCAGGGACGAAGCGCGAGUGACGGUAACUGGAAAAGAAGCACCGGCUAACUACGUG
rnacentral:rRNA from 1 species